UGGGGAAUAUUGGACAAUGGGGGAAACCCUGAUCCAGCAAUGCCGCGUGAGUGAAGAAGGCCUUAGGGUUGUAAAGCUCUUUCGCCCGCGAAGAUAAUGACGGUAGCGGGAGAAGAAGCCCCGGCUACCUCCGUGCCAGCAGCCGCGGUAAUACGGAGGGGGCUAGCGUUGUUCGGAAUUACUGGGCGUAAAGCGUACGUAGGCGGAUGCGCAAGUUGGGGGUGAAAUCCCGGGGCUUAACCUCGGAAUUGCCCUCAAAACUGCACGUCUUGAGACCGAGAGAGGUAAGGGGAAUUCCUAGUGUAGAGGUGAAAUUCGUAGAUAUUAGGAAGAACACCCGUGGCGAAGGCGCCUUACUGGCUCGGUACUGACGCUGAGGUACGAAAGCGUGGGGAGCAAACA
rnacentral:rRNA from 1 species